AUCCUUUUGUAGUUUAUAAGCAUGAUGAUUGGGUGUUCGUGCUCCUGUGUGACAUGUGCCUCCCUUAAACCUUGUCAUGACCUCAGCACAUUACCCAUCUGAUG